rnacentral:rRNA from 1 species
CCUACGGGUGGCAGCAGUGGGGAAUAUUGGACAAUGGGCGAAAGCCUGAUCCAGCCAUGCCGCGUGUGUGAAGAAGGCCUUCGGGUUGUAAAGCACUUUCAGUGGGGAAGAAAGCCUUGGGGCUAAUACCCUCGAGGAAGGACAUCACCCACAGAAGAAGCACCGGCUAACUCCGUGCCAGCAGCCGCGGUAAUACGGAGGGUGCGAGCGUUAAUCGGAAUUACUGGGCGUAAAGCGCGCGUAGGCGGUCUGAUAAGCCGGUUGUGAAAGCCCCGGGCUCAACCUGGGAACGGCAUCCGGAACGGUCAGGCUAGAGUGCAGGAGAGGAAGGUAGAAUUCCCGGUGUAGCAGUGAAAUGCGUAGAGAUCGGGAGGAAUACCAGUGGCGAAGGCGGCCUUCUGGACUGACACUGACGCUGAGGUGCGAAAGCGUGGGUAGCAAACAGGAUUAGAUACCCUAGUAGUC